AAAUCAUACAUUUCAGUUUAUAUCUUUUCUCAACCACAAAGUUUUUAAUUUAUAUCCCCUUUUGACAUUUUGGCUUUCGCAUUACACUGAGACUGCGUUUGGUUGAGAGGAAUGAAAUGGAAAAGAAAUAUCAUUCCAGUUAAUUCCAUUAUUUGGUUUAUUUUUUAGGUUAGAAUGAGCUUUCCGUAGGAAAAUUUUGAGUGAAUGGCAUUCACGUGGGGCUGUGGAAUGGUUUUUCCAUUCAGCCCUGAUUCACGUUUUUCCCAAAAACUCCCUGAUGCCCUAGCCCUCAUUUCUUGCUCGACCACCGAGCUCCAGCCAUUGACCAUCGACGCCAUAGCUUCGAAGCUCCCGAACCAACUCCGAGCUCUCUACGCAUCCACCACCCGUCACCGGCUUCUCUCUCCUCGAUUCCCGAACCCUAACGAAGCUUUUCGAGACCUCAAUAAUUUUUCUGGAAUCAUUUUUCUGCAAACCAAAGCAGAAGAAGCAGAGAGAUCCGAGAGGGAAAAACCACACAGCCCUUCAGCUACCUAAGCUCCUCCAAGCUCGUCAAUGGCUACGAUUCCGGUUAACCCGAAACCUUUUUUGAACAAUUUGACUGGAAAGACUAUCAUUGUGAAGCUCAAAUGGGGGACGGAGUACAAAGGUAUUUUUUCAACUUCCACACUAGCUUUUGUGUGAAAAAUCUUGGUGAAAUUUUGGUGAAAUUUUGCCAAUACGGAAGAGUUUAUUGAUGGACAAUUCACUGGAAAUCUUGGUGAAAUUUUGAUCAGGUAAGUUUCUCCCUGGUGCAAGAAUGCUGGAAAUCCCUGGUUCGAUUUUGUAAAUCUUUCAUGUUUUCAGCAAGAGUUUGCUAGUUUGACCAUGUUUUAAGUUCGCAAAACCAAAAGGCUUAUUUGUUGUCUGUUGUAGCCACUAGGCAAAGUAGCUUUUACCUGGACACUAUCUCUCUCCUCGAUUCACUUGAUAAAUUUGAAGUUUAAACCCAAUUUGAGUGGCCAACUUGUACACCAGCUAAGAAAAUGCUUAGGGUGAACAGCAGGAGUUGCUCGACUUGCUUGCUGCUGCCGGAUAGUUCAUAUGUUGCUUUUGAUAUUUUGAUAUUUUGUUGCUUUUGAUAAACUUUUGAUAUUGUGAGAGAAUGUUUUUGUUGUAGCGUAUAUAUAAGAAAAAUAUAAAGUGGCCGUAUUUGCACUU